AGGGUUUGAUUCUGGCUCAGGAUGAACGCUGGCGGCGUGCUUAACACAUGCAAGUCGAACGAAGCACUUUUACGGAAUCCUUCGGGAGGAAGUGACUGUGACUGAGUGGCGGACGGGUGAGUAACGCGUGGGUAACCUGCCUCACACAGGGGGACAACAGCUGGAAACGGCUGCUAAUACCGCAUAAGCGCACAGUGCCGCAUGGCACGGUGUGAAAAGAUUCAUCGGUGUGAGAUGGACCCGCGUCUGAUUAGCCAGUUGGCAGGGUAACGGCCUACCAAAGCGACGAUCAGUAGCCGGCUUGAGAGAGUGACCGGCCACAUUGGGACUGAGACACGGCCCAG
rnacentral:rRNA from 1 species